UGUGAUGGCCAAAAUAUUCUAAAGGCAUGAGAUCCUGUCUGAACUUUGAAGACAAGCAGGGCCAGGCCUGAUUAGUACUUGUGUGGAAGACCACCAAUGAAUAUUGUUUUCUGCUCCAA
rnacentral:rRNA from 11 species